CUGAGGUGGACGCGGCCCAGGGGCGCGGGCGGGCACGGGGGGCGCGGGCGCGCGCUCGGCGUUUCCUGUUCCUGUGCGCCGAGCCCCGCGGGCGCAGCUGCUGUCACUCAGGCGGCGCUCGGUCGGGCGCAGCCGGCUUCUCGGGCCUGUCGCCGCUGCCUCUGGCCAGGCUCUGAUUUGAGACAGUGAAAGGAUAAAACAUCGGUUUGAAACUCCGUCAGAGCAACAUGAAUUCUGUUAAGAUUGAAAUGAGAAGAAACAUCAAGUUCAUGGUGAAGCUUGGGUGGAAGAAUGAUGAAGUCAUGGAUGCUUUACGGAAGGUGUAUGGGGACAACGCCCCAGAGAAAUCAGCAGUCUACAAGUGGAUCAAUCGCUUCAAGGAGGGACGAGACGACGUCGAAGAUGAACUCCGCAGUUGCACCCCAUCCACGUCCAUUUGUGAGGAUAAAAAGUAAUCUAAUGCCUGCCAUGAUGAAAGGGACCAGCAAGUAACAGCAGAAGGAGGCAACACCGUGGAUAUUUCAAAUGUUUGGACUAUAUAACCCUGAAUGAAAAUUUUUAAAGUGGAGCAAACUUUCCACUUGACAUGUACCAAAAGUCUCGUAGCCAAAUCAGCUGCAUACAACACUAGAACUAUCCGUGGAAAUUUCAAACAAGUAGGUUCGAGAUCAUCCUUCUUCAAAGAGUUCUAACUGCAGGUAAAAUUUGGCUUAACCAGUAUGACCCUGACAACAAAAGACAAUCAAAGCAAUGGCUAUCAAGCGGAAGUGCAUCGGUCAGGAGUAUUGGAUAUGAAAAUAGUUUCAGAAGAGUGCUCAAGGGAUUUGCUUGUUGGGUUUCUGGAGGAAAUGGCAUCUCCUUGGAAUAAGAGUGCUCCAAGAAAGUUCAAGAGAAAGGCUUCCCUCACCACAGCCAUCUUGUUCAUUCCUCUCUUCCGGCAUGAGUGAUUUCCUGAGAGGUUUUUUGAGCUGUCAUUAAGCACCCACCUUCCCAGGAGUGCUUCGGCUUCUCCCUUCUUUUUCUUAACCUUAAAUCUUUAACCCAUUUUUCUUCAGUCACUAGUGUGUAAAAGACCACGUUGAUGUGGCUCAGUCGUUGAGAUCAUUAGUUCUUGAAGGAUAGGACGGAAGGGCUGGUACCAUCACUUGCAAGGUUUUGCACUUGAUAGUGAGAUACAGUGUGCAUUGUUUAGUUUUGCUCUCCGUUUCCCAGAAGCUUGACUUCCCGAAGGUUAAUCCUUCGGUGAGAGGUGACCCUUGGAGCACACUGGAAAGUAAUGGACAUAUACCCCAAGGACUAACACGAUGAUAGGUUUUCAGAAUAUCCUGCAUGGUAGACCCUGUGCUAUCACAUCCACUCGUGGUGACAGACAAAAACAACACAAUUUGAAUUUGUAGUGUAGUUCUACAACUAGAUGAACAUUUGCCAUUUCUUCCUAACAUUUUAGAGUCUGUAGAAAAUUGACAUUUUGCCUCACUUUCCUUAAAAAAAAAAAAAAUCCAUUUGGGGUCAGUGUUGAGGUAUAGCAGGUCAGACUGCCACUUACAAUACCAGCAUCCCAUAUGGGUGCCGAUUCAAGUCCCUGCUGCUCCAGUUCUGAUCCCAACUCCCUGCUAAUGAGCCUGGCAAAGCAGUGAAAGACAGCCCAAGAACAUGGGUCCCUACCACUCGUAAGGAAGACCCAGAUGGAGUUCCAGGCUUCUGCUUUUGGCUUGACCCCACUCUUAGCCAUUGCAACCAUGUGGAGAAUGAAUGAUUAGAUGGACAAUAACGCUUUUUCUGUGUUCUCUUCUUUGUAACUCUGCCUGUCAAAUAAAUAAAAUAAGUCUUACAUAAAAGUGCUUCUGGGAUCAGUGCUGCAGCAUACAGGUAAACUGCCACCUGCCGUGCCGGCCUCUCCUAUGGGCACAGGUUUGGUUUGCAUCCUGGCUGCUCUACUUCCAGUCCAGCUCCCUGCUAAUGCACCUGGGAGAGUAAUGAAGGGUAGCCUUGUCCCGAAGUGGGACACCUGAAAGAGGCCUCAGGCUCCUGGCUCAGGUCUGGCACAGCCCACUUGUGACCAUCUGGUGAGUGAACCAGCAGAUAGAUGGAAGAUUGAUUCUCUGUCCAUUCCGCUCCCUCUCUGUAACUUUGACUUUCAAAAAAAUUAAAUUUUUUUUCUUUAAAAAUUGCUACAAUUUGUAGGAAAUAGAGAUGAUCACUUCUACCAUGGUUGUAGUCAAAUAUAAACUUUCAGACUUGAUAGCCAUGGUAAUACUGAAGAUCUACUCUAAUUAUGCUUUAUUAUUAGAGAAAAAAAUUCACUAUUAAGCAAAUAUGGGGGAUAUAUGCCUGAAUAAAUAGCUUAAGUAGUAGCUAUAAUUGUUGCCAGUCUUGUAUGACCCACUACUUACCCAAAGCAAAUAAAUGAUUCCAUUUGUUAUUUCUAAUCCUGAAGUUGAAUUUUUUUUUUUGGAUGUGAAUUCAGAUAAGUUGGUCAGAAAAUUUUUACUUCUUCUUCAUUAAACUUCAUAUGUAAAAUC